CAGAGACCUGGGCCCAGCAGCCAGGCUCCCAGGCUUGGGGAACCUCAGAACUCCCUAGGACUUAUCGGCCCUUUUCGCUUCAGUCAGUCUGCUUUCCUCCACGCCUGCGUGAGGCUGAAUUAAGGGAGAGAGUGGCAGGAGAAGGAUACUGGGGCAGCCCGACUGGGACAGGAGUACAGAAGCUGUGAGGUCACGCCUUCCUGUCCUUAGCGUGGGACUGUCCCCGCUCAUGGACACCACCAUACAACUUCCCUAUGGCCUCCAGAUGAGUAAAAAGGAAAAACUCUGGCAUUUUUCACUUUCUUGGCGUCUUCCACCUCCUCCAUCCUCACACCCACGCUGGAAUGUAGACAGCUCUGCACGGUAUAGAGAUUGCACCAGGGGCCCAAACAGGGUCAUCAACUGCCCAUCAUCUCAGCGCCUUGGGCUCUGUCUCCUGGAUACCAGGGGUCCAGAGGAGGAGCUACCCUAUGACCUGUUCUUCCACACCUGUAAGACAGAGAUGGGGAAACUGAGGCACGGAGCAGGAGAAGGCUUUCCCUAGGUUGCACAGUGAGUCAGUGACACAGACUGGGUUACAACUUGCCUUUCCAAACUGGCUGUGGCGGUGCAUACCUGUAAUCCCAGCACUCAGGAGGCUGAGGCAGAAGGAUCAUGGAGUUCAAGGCCAGCCCAGGCUAUAUGUGUUUUCGGGCAGCCUGAAGGACAUAGCAAGACCCUGUUUCAAAAAACAAAACAAAAACCUUGCCCUUCCAGAUCCCCUAACCCACAAGCUAGUGUUCACCUUAAAACUUCUUUGCUUUGGGGAUGUGUGUGUGGGCAUGUGUGUGUAUGUGCAUGCUAGAGCUUAUGCAUGCAGAACCAAGAUGAGAAAAUGUGACCUCCUGUCACACACUGGUUGUCUUGGACACCUGUAGAAGCCACAAGAUUUCGGGACUUCAAACCCAGGUGUGUGCUGUUGACACCUUAUAGUCUCUACUUCUGAAGCCUCAGCCACCAAAUUUCCACAGUGAGGACACUGCAAAGUGCACUGUCAAUCUGUGGGCAGUUGGCGUGUGCACACGUGUGUGUCUGUGUGUCUGUGUCUCUGUGUGUGUUUGUGUGUGUGUGCACAUGUGUGCCAGGGCCUCAUGCAGGCGCUACCACAGAGCCACAGCCCUGGGCCCGGGCUUGGCCUCUCUUAUCCUGGCUCCUGGGCUGGGAACCGGGUGAGACAGGAGCUGAUGUUCAGAUGGGCGCUUCCUGCAUCCUCCAUGUUAAUAAUGGCCCCAAGUCGUCACACCAGGGGGAACAGGAAGUUGCUUGUCAGGCUGCAGAGUCUCAAAUGCUGACUUCCAUUCAGGUGACCUCCCCAGGCCUGACAGCUGGCUGUGGUCCUGGUGGGGAGGGGCCCAGAGGAGCCGUUGUAUUUUUUUUUUUAGGUACUGGGGAUUGAACUCACGAUCUCAUGCUUGCCAGGCAGGUGCUUAUACUGCUGAGCUAAAUCCCCAGACCUGUACUUUUUUAUUAUUGUCAUUCUGGGGAUUGAACCCAUGGCUUUUGCACUGAAUUACAUUCUCCCCAGCCCCUUUGUAAAAUGUAUUUGGAGAUAAGUUCUCACUAAAUCAUAAGUUGUCCAGGGUGGGCUUAAGCUGGCCAUCCUCCUGCCUUGGCCUUCCAGAAUGCUGGGUUUACAGGUAUGGUCUACCACACCUGGCUCCAGCUAAGUCUUCUGAGAAGGUAAAGAGGACCCCAAGGCUCUCCAGGGAUAGGACACGGCCCUGAGGUCACAGCAGCACAGUGCUGUUCACAGAUGGACCUGCGCUCAAAAUCUGAGUGAAAAAAUAAGGCUUCUGGACCAUGGACUUAAUAGCAAGGGGCCCCAACCCCAACCCUUCUGCUGAGCCAGAAGCCCCCACAGACCAUCACCAAGAUCCACAAAACAGAUCCAUUAGGCAAAUCCUGGUAUCUGUCCCUAUUUCACAGAUGAGGAAACUGAGACCAAAGAGGAGCAGGCAUAAGACAAACAAUGAAUCAUCCAACCCCUAACCCCAUAACCUGAGAUGCUGGGCCGAGUUGUCAGGAAACAGAGGAUCAGGUUGUCUGGUGGGAGCUUGGGGUCUUCCUUGUGGAAGGCUGAA